rnacentral:rRNA from 1 species
AUGUGACCUCAAAUCAGGUAGGACUACCCGCUGAACUUAAGCAUAUCAAUAAGCGGAGGAAAAGAAACUAACAAGGAUUCCCCUAGUAACUGCGAGUGAAGCGGGAAAAGCUCAAAUUUAAAAUCUGUCAGCCUUUGGCUGUCCGAGUUGUAAUCUAGAGAAGCGUUAUCCGCGCUGGACCGUGUACAAGUCUCCUGGAAUGGAGCGUCAUAGAGGGUGAGAAUCCCGUCUUUGACACGGACUGCCAGGGCUUUGUGAUGCGCUCUCAAAGAGUCGAGUUGUUUGGGAAUGCAGCUCAAAAUGGGUGGUAAAUUCCAUCUAAAGCUAAAUAUUGGCGAGAGACCGAUAGCGAACAAGUACCGUGAGGGAAAGAUGAAAAGAACUUUGGAAAGAGAGUUAAACAGUACGUGAAAUUGCUGAAAGGGAAACGCUUGAAGUCAGUCGCGUUAGCCAGGGAUCAACCUUGCUUUUGCUUGGUGUACUUUCUGGUUGACGGGUCAGCAUCAAUUUUGACUAUUGGAAAAAGAUCAGGGGAAUGUGGCAUCUUCGGAUGUGUUAUAGCCCUUGGUUGCAUACAAUGGUUGGGAUUGAGGAACUCAGCACGCCGCAAGGCCGGGUUUUAACCACGUACGUGCUUAGGAUGCUGGCAUAAUGGCUUUAAUCGACCCGUCUUGAAACACGGACCAAGGAGUCUAACAUGCCUGCGAGUGUUUGGGUGGAAAACCCGAGCGCGUAAUGAAAGUGAAAGUUGAGAUCCCUGUCGUGGGGAGCAUCGACGCCCGGACCAGACCUUUUGUGACGGUUCCGCGGUAGAGCAUGUAUGUUGGGACCCGAAAGAUGGUGAACUAUGCCUGAAUAGGGUGAAGCCAGAGGAAACUCUGGUGGAGGCUCGUAGCGAUUCUGACGUGCAAAUCGAUCGUCAAAUUUGGGUAUAGGGGCGAAAGACUAAUCGAACCAUCUAGUAGCUGGUUCCUGCCGAA